UACAGAGGGGGCAAGCGUUGUUCGGAAUUACUGGGCGUAAAGGGUUUGUAGGUGGCUAAUUUAAGUCAGACGUGAAAUCCCUCAGCUUAACUGGGGAACUGCGUCUGAUACUGGUUGGCUUGAGUGCAGGAGAGGAAUGCGGAAUUCCAGGUGUAGCGGUGAAAAUGCGUAGAUAUCUGGAGGAACACCGGUGGCGAAGGCGGCGUUCUGGACUGCAACUGACACUGAGAAACGAAAGCCAGGGGAGCAAACGGG
rnacentral:rRNA from 1 species